UGCAUGAGCCCCUUCAGAACCUCGAG
rnacentral:piRNA from 1 species